CCUACGGGGGGCUGCAGUAGGGAAUCUUCGGCAAUGGGGGCAACCCUGACCGAGCAACGCCGCGUGAGUGAAGAAGGUUUUCGGAUCGUAAAGCUCUGUUGUAAGUCAAGAACGAGUGUGAGAGUGGAAAGUUCACACUGUGACGGUAGCUUACCAGAAAGGGACGGCUAACUACGUGCCAGCAGCCGCGGUAAUACGUAGGUCCCGAGCGUUGUCCGGAUUUAUUGGGCGUAAAGCGAGCGCAGGCGGUUUGAUAAGUCUGAAGUUAAAGGCUGUGGCUCAACCAUAGUUCGCUUUGGAAACUGUCAAACUUGAGUGCAGAAGGGGAGAGUGGAAUUCCAUGUGUAGCGGUGAAAUGCGUAGAUAUAUGGAGGAACACCGGUGGCGAAAGCGGCUCUCUGGUCUGUAACUGACGCUGAGGCUCGAAAGCGUGGGGAGCUAACAGGAUUAGAUACCCCAGUAGUC
rnacentral:rRNA from 1 species